rnacentral:ncRNA from 1 species
AGGAGCCGAUAUGAGAUGAAAAAUCUCAUGUACGGUUCUGCAAUAGGGAUGAGAACAGUGAUGUUCUCAUCUACUAUGAU